GCAGGGCGCGGUGGCGAGUGCCUGUAGUCCCAGCUACUCGGGAGGCUGAGGCUGCAGGAUCACUUGAGUCCGGGAGUUCUGGGCUGUAGUGCACUAUGCCAGGUUGCCUAAGGAGGGUGAACCAGCCCAAGCUGGAAAUGGAGCAGGUCAAAACUCCCAUGCUGAUCAGUAGUGGGAUCCCGCCUGUGAAUAGCCACUGCACCUGGGCAACCUGGGGAGACCCCGUCUCUA
rnacentral:SRP_RNA from 13 species